GAUGAAGAACGUAGCGAAAUGCGAUAAGUAAUGUGAAUUGCAGAAUUCAGUGAAUCAUCGAAUCUUUGAACGCACAUUGCGCCCCCUGGUAUUCCGGGGGGCAUGCCUGUCCGAGCGUCAUUGCUGCCCUCAAGCACGGCUUGUGUGUUGGGCCUCCGUCCUCCUCCCGGGGGACGGGCCCGAAAGGCAGCGGCGGCACCGCGUCCGGUCCUCGAGCGUAUGGGGCUUCGUCACCCGCUCUUGUAGGCCCGGCCGGCGCUUGCCGACACAUCAAUCUUUUUUCCAGGUUGACCUCGGAUCAGGUAGGGAUACCCGCUGAACUUAAGCAUAUCAAUAACGGAGGA
rnacentral:misc_RNA from 1 species